ensembl:lncRNA
AUGCUAAAAAUUGUUCUGUUGAUUCGUAGAUCUUUUUUGAAUCAGUUGAUGGAAUCUAUUGAAUCUGAAGAAAUUGAAGGGAUUAUUAGCCUUACAGCAACUGUUUAUAUUGUUGCCUUAAUUAAAGGUAAGAAAAAGCCUUCAUAUGUAAAAGAUGUCGCAUCUGCCCUUCAAAGAAAGCUCGUGUUAUACAGUGAGAUUACAAAGGAAGACGUUGGCAAUGUGCAAAGGUUAGCUUUUGUGAGAAAGGUUCAUUCCUUUGAAAUUAUUCUGUCCUUGAUUUCUAUAACAUCACAAACUGUGUGUUGGCAUUAUGUGUUAUAAAAGAGUAAAGUAUGCAGGUUCAUAUCUAGCUAAAGAAUAGUUUUAACAGGUCUUUUCACCUUGUACUAUAAUAUGGUGUCCAACGUUUUGGGGGUUGUAUUUCUAAAAUCUUGAAAACAUAUAUGCACAUAAAUUAUGCAGAUUACUGAUUGGAUCACAUCUAACAUCUGGCAAUGCACAGAUAAUGUUCUUUGCUUGAAGUUAGUUUUUCUAGUCUUCUGCAUAAGAUCUCUUUGCAUAGCUUAUAUUUGUCCUGCUGCAAAGGAAGAUCACUAUGUCGUGGCCUUCAUUAAGGAAAAUAGAUUUAAGCCAUAACAAUUCUUGCUAAUAGUGCUGUGUCAUUUUAAUUUGACAUCCAGUGGUUUGCAUAACAGCAUCAGAAAUAUAAUGAGCAGGUGUUUGGGUUGAUGGGAAACAAUAUUUGCUUAUUUGUUAGUCAUUUGUAUAACUUAUUGCAGCUCCUCACUGCUCUGUUUCAGGACCCUGUAUGAAAUUGCUCUGCACACUUUAAAUGAAAAUUUCAGUCCUUGACUGUAUAAUGAUUUGCAAAUCAAAGGAACGAGAAAAAAAGAAGCAUUCAACCGUUUCCGAGAAGCAAACGGCUCAUCUGUACAGUAUUUUACCUUUUGGUACCUCAAAAUCUCUAUUUUGAUUGGUGCUUCCUUUGACUGUCAGCACAGAUAAUGUUGAAAGCAAAAUGGUAUACUUGUUAUAUAAAAAUUAUAGAGAAACUUUCUCAAAAUGCUGAAAUAUUUUUAUAUCUUGUAUUAAAGAUGGCUAAUAUACUUAAUCUAUAAAAAGAGUUUUCUCUCUUUCGAAUGACUUAAAUUCCUUAUAUUAUUUCAACACCAGUACAGAUAUAUGAAGCACAAAAUGAUUACAUAUAAGGAAAUCAAAUACUGAUAAAAUAAGAAACACUGCAACUGUUAUUUAAGUAUAUUUUGAACAUCAGUACUGAUACCAAAGUUGAUGGGGAUGAUUGUAGAUAUUAUUGUUAUUGUUUUAUUUCUUAUCCACCUCUCUUUGUGAUUCAGGGCAGGUUACAACAUCGCUAAAAACAAAUAAUCAUUAUAUAAAAUACAUUAUUAAAACUGACCAUUUAGCUGUCAAAUCUCUUCUGGCAGGUCAUUCCGCAGUUGUGGGGCGGCCAAAGAAAAGACCCAGUUUAUGUACUAUAAUUGAUGGUAUCAUGUAUAUGUUAUGGGGUAUCUUUUUUUUUUAAGGUUAUGGGAGGAGGGUGUCGCCAAUUCUUGUAUGCAUGGAUGUAUAAGUUUCCACUUUGUUGCAGAUGAGGGCUAUGCACCUUUUGUAUACACCAAGAGUUAGAGGAUUGUAUAUGGCAUAAACCCCUGUAGUUAUUAUUGUUGGUGGGUUCUGGAUCAGGAAGAAAUGCUGUAAAGUUCUGUCUCGUGGAACAACGACAACUCUCUUUCUUCAGCAUUCAGUUCUACUAGGUUCAUAGCAAUAUCAUCACCCACCUUCAAUGUUGUGUAUCCAGGUAUAGAAGCAGAGCACCCCUUGAUCUUUGCCUCCUGAUGUCCACCGGCCAGUAAAUAAUCGCCAUGACUCACACCUAUAAGGUGGGGAAGAAGAUGUGUUUCGUACUUCCAUCUGACAGUUAGCAUUUCUACAUGAAUAAUGUAAGUUAGCACUACUGCAAAAAACAGAUGUAGUUUAGUGGUUCUCUUUUGAAAGGAAAAUAUAUUGGCUGCAAUCCUUAGCAUGCUUACUUGGAGGUUAAUAAUACAAGAUAACUUUUUCACAUCCAAUUUUUCUGGAAGAUAUUUCAGAAGUUCUGUUGGCAAAUGCAAUUUUUUCGCAUUUAUCUCUCUCAGGCUUCUGCCGAUUUAGAAAAAAAAAAUAGAAAUCUGCUACCUAUGAAACUACAGACCAAUUAAAAGAAAGAAAGUAACCUAAAAUAAUAAUGGUAAUAACAAUACUUUAUUUGUAUUCCAUCCUAUCUCUCUGAGGAAACUCAGCAUGCACAAACACAAAGGUGCAGAUUCAAUGCCUAGAAAAAAUAACGCAGAUAAAGGUAAAGGCAUCCCCUUCCAGCUCUGGGGGUUGGUGCUCAUCUCCAUUUCUAAGCCGAAGAGCCUGCGUUGGCCAUAGACAUCUCCUAGGUCGUGGUUAGCAUGACUGCAUGGAACGCCGUUACCUUCCUGCCGAGGCAGUACCUAUUGAUCUACUCACAUUUGCAUGCUUUUGAACUGCUAGGUUGACAAGCUGGGGCUAACAGCGGGAGCUCACCCCAUCCCACGGAUUCUAACCACCAAUUUUCUGGUCAGAAAAUUCAGCAGCUCAGUGGUUUAACUUGUUGCACCACCGCAGACCCAAUUGUUCCUUUUUAUGCAACGUGGAUUUCCUUUUUUUGUCCUUUUGUUCUUUUAAGGAAGUAAUGGGAGCAAUUCUUUGAAAUGAGGCUAUUGUUCAUAGUGUCAGAACAAGUAUUAGCUACAGAUUUGUAGGACUAAUCACUGUUCUGUGUUCUGAACAGAACUCAAUGAAAAACUCCUUUAGUACUCUAGUUGGGUCAUGGUCAUGGCAGGUUGUUGCACACAAACACCAAAUGUCUGAAGUGGGGUUUUUUAAACUCCAUAGAUAAAGGUAAAGGUUUUCCCUGAUAUUAAGUCUAGUUGUGUCUGACUCUGGGCUUGGUGAUCAUCUCCAUUUGUAAGCUGAAGAGCUGGCGUUGUCCAUAGACGUCUCCAAAGUUAUGUGGCCAGCAUGACUGCAUGGAGCGCCAUUACCAUCCUGCCGAAGUGGUAUCUAUUGAUCUCACAUUGAUUGAACUGCUAGGCAGAAGCUAGAGCUAAUGAUGAUGAUAAUAAUAAUAUAUAAUAAUAACUUUAUUUUUUUUAUCCCGCCUCCAUCUCCCCAAAGGGACUCGGGAUGGCUUACAUGGGGAACAAGCUCAAUCCAACAGAGAUUAAAACCAAACAUAGAUUAAAACAUAUCUCAAUAAAAUCAGACAACAUUAUAACAGACAAUAAAAACAGCUAACAGCAGGAGCUCACCCCGCUCCCCGGAUUCGAACCGCCAACCUUUUGGUUAGCAAGUUCAGCAGCUCUGUGGUUUAAUCCGCUGCGCCACCGUGGGCUUUUAACUCCAUACCUAAAUUUAUAUAGUGCAGUGGGUGGGGGGAAUCAGUUUGUUUAGCAUGCCUUGCAAAUAUUUAUUAUUGUUAUUAUUAUUAUUAUUAUUAAUAAUUUUAUUUAUAUACCGCCCUAUGUCCCAGAAGGGCCUCAGGGUGGUUUACAACAAAGAUACAGACAUACAAUACACAACAAUAUAAAAACAUAUCAUUACACAAAAAUAAAAUUUACAUUAAAAUAACAAUCAGUAAAAUCACAACAGCUUCCAAUUGGGGUCAAUAAUGUCGUAGGUAACAUAGACCAUGAUCAGGAAAAGAUGAGACUACAGUAUAUUUCAUGAUAAGUAAAUGGUUGAUUUUUAUACCUAUUUUAUAUGCCCAAAUACCUAGGGUCAUGUAAACAUUUUUCAGGCCAAAACAGGUCCCGGGUUGAAAGGUUUAAGAAGCCCUGGAUCUGGGCUAUGGUUCUUUGUGGAUGAGAUUGUAUGCAUUUUUCCUCCCUGAAUUUUAUACCACGAAUAAUGGGACAUCAUUUUAACUACUUAUAAUUGCUUCUGCCUGGGCAAACUUCAAUUACUGGAGCCUGGAGAUAUUGACAGCGUUUGAAGAAGUGCUUUCUGUCAUCUGCAUGAAUGACCCCUUGUGUUUAAUAACCUAGUUGAGAAGAAGUGAAUUAAUGGGUAAGAAGGUGCGGACUGUCUCUUUGAUAAGAGAAACCAGUGUCAGACCACUUUGGAAAAGGAAUGUGAACCCAGUCUUUAAGGUGCCCUCUUAAAACAAAGUACUUGAGCAAAUUCUAGAGCAGGCAUGGGCAAACUUCGGCCCUACCGGCUGUUAGGAAUUGUGGGAGUUGAAGUCCAAAACACCUGGAGGACCGAAGUUUGCCCAUGCCUGCCUUAGAGUCUGAGACCACAUUUUAUCCAGGCUCCACAAGAAUAUCAUUUAGUUGCUAUGUUUGGAUCUGACACUUUUUUAGGUCAGAAAAAGCCAUACUAGAAGGGACAUUUGGUUCCAAAGUUUGGGUUUUUCUAGAGAGGAGUCAAUCCUAUAGAUGACUUUGCACAGAAAUAUAGAUUUCUGCUCCUGAUUCCUGAAGGACUUUUGUUAACGUUAGCUCAGCUCGAAAUGUGCUGAAGUAAACACUAAACAGAUGCUUAGGUCUUCAGUUAACUCUCACUUAUCAUUAGCAUUUUCAUUUAAUGCAAGCCUUAUCUCCAGCGAGUCUCCCAGGUAAUCACUAACGGCACUUUCAGUUUCAGACUCCGAAUGCAACUCCCUUCUCGAGCUCCUUUCCAGCUGCUGUUCUCUGGCAAUGUAGAAAAGCCAUUAUCAUUUAGCUUUGGCCUUAGGGACAAAACAGCAUCUCACAAGCUACUAGUUAUCUCUCAAAAUCAAUAUUCACUUUGGCAAUAAUAAUAAAAAAGAUAAUAUGUGAAUCAUCCACUUUGGAAACUGAAGUUUGAAUUCAUCCAAAUACUACCAAGGAUUUCAAGUGUUACUUUUAGUUUUGUUCAUAAUUCACGAGAUG